AUUGAACGCUGGCGGCAUGCCUUACACAUGCAAGUCGAACGGUAACAGGCCUUCGGAUGCUGACGAGUGGCGAACGGGUGAGUAAUACAUCGGAACGUGCCCGAUCGUGGGGGAUAACGGAGCGAAAGCUUUGCUAAUACCGCAUACGAUCUACGGAUGAAAGCAGGGGACCGCAAGGCCUUGUGCGGACGGAGCGGCCGAUGGCAGAUUAGGUAGUUGGUGGGAUAAAAGCUUACCAAGCCGACGAUCUGUAGCUGGUCUGAGAGGACGACCAGCCACACUGGGACUGAGACACGGCCCAGACUCCUACGGGAGGCAGCAGUGGGGAAUUUUGGACAAUGGGCGAAAGCCUGAUCCAGCCAUGCCGCGUGCAGGAUGAAGGCCUUCGGGUUGUAAACUGCUUUUGUACGGAACGAAAAGCCUCUUUCUAAUAAAGAGAGGUCAUGACGGUACCGUAAGAAUAAGCACCGGCUAACUACGUGCCAGCCGCCGCAGUAACAC
rnacentral:rRNA from 1 species